AUACGGAGGGUGCAAGCGUUAUUCGGAAUCACUGGGCGUAAAGGACGCGUAGGCGGGUUGGCAAGUCAGAUGUGAAAUCCUACAGCUUAACUGUAGAACUGCAUUUGAAACUGCUAACCUAGAGUAUGAGAGGGGGAGAUGGAAUUAGUGGUGUAGGGGUAAAAUCCGUAGAUAUCACUAGGAAUACCGAAAGCGAAGGCGAUCUCCUGGAACAUAACUGACGCUAAGGCGUGAAAGCGUGGGGAGCAAACAGGAUUAGAAACCCUUGUAGUCC
rnacentral:rRNA from 1 species